ensembl:lncRNA
GGAGAGGAGAGGGUGGCUGAUGGUCUCUUCAUGAGGGGAGGAGAGGGUGGCUGAUGGUCUCUUUAUGUGGGGAGAGGAGAGGGUGGCUGAUGGUCUCUUUAUGAGGGGAGAGGAGAGGAGAGGGUGGCUGAUGGUCUCUUUAUGUGGGGAGAGGAGAGGGUGGCUGAUGGUCUCUUUCUGUGGGGAGGGGAGAGGGUGGCUGAUGGUCUCCAUGAGAGGAGAGGGUGUCUGGAACUAAGAGAAUGUUGCUCAGUAGUCAUUCUCAUAUUCCUGUUCCUGUCCUCCUUGAGUUAGAACCAGAACAGAGGAGACAGACAGAGACACAGAGAAACACCUUACGUCAGUACAGAUACCAGACCACAUAACACCAACGUGGACCCACUAGUGGUUGUGCUAGUCAGUAUCUCUGACUCAGACUGCUGUGUUAUGGCAGCUGCUCAUCAGAGCUCUGAAAGCAGACAGGCACAAACAUAGUGCUGUCAUCUUUAUUUCUCUUUCUUAAUGUAAGAAAAUGUGAUAAAGAUGUACAACAGUGAAAUGAGAGUCACACAGGAUACAUGGUUGUACAUCCAGUGUACUUACAGUAACUCAGACAGCGAAUGGGUCCGGGUCAGACAUGUACAAGUUACAGUGUAGUAACUCAGACAGCGAAUGGGUCCGGGUCAGACAUGUACAAGUUACAGUGUAGUAACUCAGACAUGCACAAGUUGUGGUGAAACAUUCUAGGUCAAAGUGCACCACACAUCGCUGUGAGAGGCACUCCCAUCUUAAAGUGAUUCAACCACAUGUGUAACCACAUCUGUGGGAAUGAACCAAUUGUUCAAUGUCAAAUAAUACCCUGCCUGAAUUCAAUCCAAACAGCUAUAGCAUAAUGGUCUUCGUGUUAAUAUCCUUUUAGGUUAGCAGUAAAGUAAUAACCAGUCAAAAGAAAGCAGGCCCACUAAGGGGGCUCUCAAGUGGUCUAAGGCACUGCAUCUCAGUGCAAGAGGCGUCACUACAGUCCCUGGUUCGAAUCCAGGCUGUGUCACAUCUGGGUGUGAUUUAGGAGUCCCAUAGGGCGGGUUUGGCAAAGGGGUAGGCCGUCAUUUAUAAAUAAGAAUUUGUUCUGAACUGACUUGCCUAGUUAAAUAAAAUAAACUAAGGACACGGUCACUCAUAUUAAACAUUCAUAGUGUGUAUAAAACGCGUCACGAGAACAUACGGCAUAACAUUUCAAUAGCUCUAAAAUACUUUACGAAAUUUAUAGGGACAAUUACAAUGUCAAUCUCUGUACGAUUUACCAGUCGCCAGUUAGUUAGUCACUGAGGACAAUACUUUCACUUUUACUAGUUGUAAAGUCAGGGGCGGAGCCAGACACUGGAGUUGUUUUAUGUCCUGAAAUGAUCUGCAAUAAACAUCGUCAAGCGUCUUUCAUUUCAUCUAAUGAAAAUAACACUAACUAACCACUGGGUCCCUUCAAAAUACUGAGUCAAAACAUCAGCUGACUGGAAGGACAGGACUCUCCUGCAACGGACCGUGAAGAGAAGGCUUUAGAUCUGACACACACAGCACUUACUGUUACUCUCUCUUUCUACAUUUCUGUUUUGAUUGAAUUCAGGAAUAAUAUACACUGAGUGUACAAACAUUAAGAACAGCUGCUCUUUCCAUGACACAGACUGACCAUGUGAAUCCAGGUGAAAGAUAUGAUCCCUUACUGAUGUCACUUUGUUAAAUCCACUUCAAAUCAGUGUAGAUGAAGGGGAGGAGACGGGUUAAAUAAGGAUUUUUAAGCCUUGAGACAAUUGAGACGUUUUGUAUAUGUGUGUCCUUCAGAGGGUGAAUGGGAAAGACAUUUAAGUGCCUUUGAACGGGGUAACUUGCCACAACUGUGGGAAACAAUGGAGUUAACAUGGGCCAGCAUCCCUGUGGAACGCUUUCGACACCUUGUAGUGUCCAUGCCCUGACGAAUUGAGGCUGUUCUGAGGGCAAAAUCAAUAUUAGGAAGGUGUUCUUAAUGUUUUGUGCACUCAGUGCAUAACCGUACACAGUAUCCAUCAGAUUUACUGUGGUAUAAAACCCAGUUCCUCCUAGUAAUCUCAGUCCUACAGUAUCCAGAACUUAUAGAUAGGGAUAUCUAUGUGUUCUGAUGGCGGUUACCUCCAAC